CGAGUUGAUGUUCGAUUUUAAAUUAAAGUUGUUGCUCGCAGUUUGGUUUGGGCUACCUGUAAACCUAACAAAAUACUUGGGUUUUUUCCGACACGUUUUUUGCAUUUUUAAUGACAAUGUAAAAACGUCUGUGUGCCUGCGCAAUGCGUGUUGUAGGGGGGUUUGUAAUCGUACGGUGAAAAGGUGAAAUCCUCCUGGGGUUUGAGACGGAGUGACCCGAGCUGAUCUCUGACCAAUAGCAGGCAGAGACUAGAGCAGCGUCUCGAGACCUUUUAUGAGCCGGUACACUUAGCGGUUCUGUAUACAGCCUUCUGUUCAGUAGGACACAGAACAACAAACACACACAGACAGAAAGUAUCCUACCACUCCGGUCUCUCCUCUCUACUUUACCUUCAUAGGAUUAUAUUAACAAUAUGCCAAGCAUAUAUCAACAAGUGUUGUAGACAAAUAUUCGGUUGUCUUUUGACACCCUCCAAAAAAGAAAAUCUUUUGAAUUUGGAACGUGGGGUGGAUUCGACUACACCAAUUUCAGACGUAUAAAUAAUCUCCUUUGAGGUAAGACGGACAUUUAAAUUUCAUAUUUCGCAAAUUUUUUAAAAAACUGGUUUGAAAUGUUAUAUUAUUAUUAGUCUACUGUGUGUAAAAUCACUUUCAGGCAAACCAUUUCCUCAGGCCUAUGUUUAUUGUAAUCCUCAUCACGUUAGUUUCUUCUUUCUAUAACCAAUAUUAAACAGAUACAUUAUAUGAAGUUCCUCAUUGACCCUAUUGUAACCCGUUAAUAGCCAUUGAACCGGGCUCGCCCUGUAACGCCUUAAUGCUUUUUAAAGGAGUGGUGAGUUGUGAUAGCUUCAUUAAUGUUGACCUCUGCCGCUGACCCGGUGUUCUUUAAUUUGGGUGUCGUGACCCUGAUUUGUCUCAGUUACUGCUGACUACCACCCACCCACUACUCGCCUUGUGACGGGGGGGCCACGGCACCUACAACUCAUCUUGCUCGUUUACAGGGAUGCACAGUCAAGUACCAAUUUAAAGUAGUUUACUUUGCAGGCACAAGCACUAAUUUAAAUAUAUUGAUGAAUAUCCGUUGUGUGUUUUGCGAACUGGAAAAAAUGCCCAAAAAAAGCUGGUUUUAGAUUGUAGGCUACGUGCUGUGAAUUCAGUAGGAUGCUGUAGGCUAAGUGCUGUGAAUUCAGUAGGAUGCUGUAGGCUAAGUGCUGUGAAUUCAUUAGGAUGCUGUAGGCUAAGUGCUGUGAUUUCAGUAGGAUGCUGUAGGCUAAGUGCUGUGAUUUCAUUAGGAUGCUGUAGGCUAAGUGCUGUGAUUUCAGUAGGAUGCUGUAGGCUAAGUGCUGUGAUUUCAUUAGGAUGCUGUAGGCUAAGUGCUGUGAAUUCAGUAGGAUGCUGUAGGCUAAGUGCUGUGAAUUCAUUAGGAUGCUGUAGGCUAAGUGCUGUGAUUUCAGUAGGAUGCUGUAGGCUAAGUGCUGUGAUUUCAUUAGGAUGCUGUAGGCUAAGUGCUGUGAUUUCAGUAGGAUGCUGUAGGCUAAGUGCUGUGAUUUCAUUAGGAUGCUGUAGGCUAAGUGCUGUGAUUUCAUUAGGAUGCUGUAGGCUAAGUGCUGUGAUUUCAGUAGGAUGCUGUAGGCUAAGUGCUGUGAUUUCAUUAGGAUGCUGUAGGCUAAGUGCUGUGAAUUCAGUAGGAUGCUGUAGGCUAAGUGCUGUGAUUUCAGUAGGAUGCUGUAGGCUAAGUGCUGUGAAUUCAGUAGGAUACUGUAGACUAAGUGCUGUGAAUUCAUUAGGAUGCUGUAGGCUAAGUGCUGUGAAUUCAGUAGGAUGCUGUAGGCUAAGUGCUGUGAAUUCAGUAGGAUGCUGUAGGCUAAGUGCUGUGAAUUCAUUAGGAUGCUGUAGGCUAAGUGCUGUGAAUUCAGUAGGAUGCUGUAGGCUAAGUGCUGUGAUUUCAGUAGGAUGCUGUAGGCUAAGUGCUGUGAAUUCAGUAGGAUGCUGUAGGCUAAGUGCUGUGAAUUCAUUAGGAUGCUGUAGGCUAAGUGCUGUGAAUUCAUUAGGAUGCUGUAGGCUAAGUGCUGUGAAUUCAUUAGGAUGCUGUAGGCUAAGUGCUGUGAAUUCAUUAGGAUGCUGUAGGCUAAGUUCUGUAAAUUCAGUAGGAUGCUAAAAAAAAAAAAUAUUUUCGUUUGGUAAAAAUCAGUGCUCUCCGUGGAAUAUGUUCUUGAAUUUGUAAAAUGACGAAAAAUAUGUGUAGCUUUUAAUUUAAUUAUAAUUUAGUAAAUAUCAAUCUCUACAUAAGUUCGAUCUUGUUAAAUUGAUGUUGCUAAAUAAGAUUUUUAUUAUUAGCCAGUAGGUAAAAACAAAAACGUUUCAUAUUGUGCGAUAAUUGAAAUACCACAUUUUCUUUCGUUAAUUGAAAUGCAUAUUGGGGAUUCACACAGACAUAUUUUGAUUGAGAAAAUGUGCAUGAUUACAAUGUUAUUCUCCUAAAUGUAUUUUGAGCAGAGAUCUAACAAUCAUACGUAAUUUGUUCGUUACCUAAAUAUAUUUAUUUUACUGCUAAAGGAUUUGAUUAUGUUCCCUAUUUGAAAUCUGUUUAUUAAUCUUCAAAAAUACGAUCAAAUAAACUAGAGAGGUAUAUUUUCAUUUCAGAAGCGAAAAUAUGCCAAAUAAAUCUGGAGAUAGAGCUAAAAUCUCUCCACCUCUUUCUCUCUCCAGGCAGAAUAGCUCCACCAUUCCGAUUCAAAUCAUCCCAGAUCGGCUCUGCCUCCUCGCCUGCUGUGAUGUCUGUGUCUCUUUCCAGCAUCCCCGCCGUGAAGGACAAGCCGUUCCACUCCAACCCCCUCAAAGGCAGCCCUGCCCGGGGCUCGGGUUACUACGCUGCCCCGCUGCCCGGAGCCCACCAUUACAUGGACAUCUUCAGGAGCUCUCAGCAUCCCCUCCACCCGCUCAAGUCUCUGGGGCGGCUUGUUACGGACACCCAGGCAGUCAUGCCGUUCAACUUCACCGCCGGUAACCCCUCAUUCUUCGGCCACGGCGGCCACGCCGUUAACGUGCUCCAUGAGCAGAUUUUCAACGUGUCGAACAUCCCGUAUUUCAAUCGGAUGAUGCCGGGAGUGGGACAAACGAUUUACUCCAAGCACGAGGAGCUGGCAGCGGUGGUGACCGAGCACGCUACUGGGCCGUUAUCAGACUUCAGCAGUCCCGCCUCGAGCGAGAGGUCUUCUGCUCACUCCGUCUCGCCGUCCAAAGCACGUUCGCUCCACCUCAGGGGAACCGAAUUAUCAUCGAAGAAGACGCGCACUUAUAGUUUCAGUGAGGACGAUCUGUUCACGGUGCUGUACGGAUAUACCGGGAGACAAGAGCAGAAUACCGGUCACGCUAUCUCAGGAGUAGCCGGGAACUCAGUUUGUAACAGCGAGCUACUCACCUUGAAUACUCAGGCGCUUGAACUUCCAGAAGAGUUAACUAUCCAACAGACGAGUUACGGCAGUUUGUCCCACUACGGAGUUUUUGCGGUGAAGAGCGCCGUCACCAAGGGAACCCGGUUCGGCCCAUUUCAGGGGAAACUGGUCAAUACGAGCGAGAUCAAAACAUAUGACGACAACACUCUGAUGUGGGAGGUGUUCGAGAACGGCCGGUUGAGUCACUUCGUGGAUGGCCGGGGCUCUUCCGGUAACUGGAUGUCGCUGGUGAAGUGCGCGCGCUUCCCGGAGGAGCAGAACCUGAUCGCGUUACAGAGUAAGGGCCAGAUCUUCUACGAUGCCUGUAAGGAGGUCCAACCGGGACAGGAGCUGCUGGUCUGGUACGGGGACUGCUAUGUUCAGUUCCUGGGGAUUCCUCUCACUCUGAAAGACUCGCCGGAGGAGGGGAACGUUAUGCUUCCACAUGAAGAUUCUGGAGAGGGUUUUAAAUGUGAUCGGUGUGGCAAAGUGUUCGCCUAUCAAUACUACAGAGACAAGCAUCUGAAGUACACGCGCUGCGUGGACCAGGGCGACCGGAAGUUCCCGUGUCACCUCUGCAACAGGUCGUUCGAGAAGAGAGACCGACUGAGGAUUCAUAUCCUACACGUUCACGAGAAACACCGACCACAUAAGUGUUCGGUGUGCGGAAAGAGUUUCUCUCAGUCCUCCAGUCUCAACAAACACAUGCGGGUGCACUCAGGAGAGCGACCCUACAAGUGUGUCUACUGUAACAAGGUAAGCAUGGAAGAGGGUGUGUCUACUGUAACAAGGUAAGCAUGGAAGAGGGUGUGUCUACUGUAACAAGGUAAGCAUGGAAGAGGGUGUGUCUACUGUAACAAGGUAAGCAUGGAAGAGGGUGUGUCUACUGUAACAAGGUAAGCAUGGAACAGAGUGUGUCUACUGUAACAAGGUAAGCAUGGAAGAGGGUGUGUCUACUGUAACAAGGUAAGUGUAGAACAGAGUGUGUCUACUGUAACAAGGUAAGUGUAGUAGAACAGAGUGUGUCUACUGUAACAAGGUAAGUGUAGUAGAACAGAGUGUGUCUACUGUAACAAGGUAAGUGUAGUAGAACAGAGUGUGUCUACUGUAACAAGGUAAGCAUGGAAGAGGGUGUGUCUACUGUAACAAGGUAAGCAUGGAACAGAGUGUGUCUACUGUAACAAGGUAAGUGUAGUAGAACAGAGUGUGUCUACUGUAACAAGGUAAGUGUAGUAGAACAGAGUGUGUCUACUGUAACAAGGUAAGUGUAGAACAGAGUGUGUCUACUGUAACAAGGUAAGUGUAGAACAGAGUGUGUCUACUGUAACAAGGUAAGCAUGGAACAGAGUGUGUCUACUGUAACAAGGUAAGUGUAGUAGAACAGAGUGUGUCUACUGUAACAAGGUAAGUGUAGAACAGAGUGUGUCUACUGUAACAAGGUAAGCAUGGAACAGAGUGUGUCUACUGUAACAAGGUAAGUGUAGUAGAACAGAGUGUGUCUACUGUAACAAGGUAAGUGUAGAACAGAAUGUGUCUACUGUAACAAGGUAAGUGUAGUAGAACAGAGUGUGUCUACUGUAACAAGGUAAGUGUAGAACAGAGUGUGUCUACUGUAACAAGGUAAGUGUAGAACAGAAUGUGUCUACUGUAACAAGGUAAGUGUAGAACAGAAUGUGUCUACUGUAACAAGGUAAGCAUGGAACAGAGUGUGUCUACUGUAACAAGGUAAGUGUAGUAGAACAGAGUGUGUCUACUGUAACAAGGUAAGUGUAGAACAGAGUGUGUCUACUGUAACAAGGUAAGUGUAGUAGAACAGAGUGUGUCUACUGUAACAAGGUAAGUGUAGAACAGAAUGUGUCUACUGUAACAAGGUAAGUGUAGUAGAACAGAGUGUGUCUACUGUAACAAGGUAAGUGUAGUAGAACAGAGUGUGUCUACUGUAACAAGGUAAGUGUAGUAGAACAGAGUGUGUCUACUGUAACAAGGUAAGCAUGGAACAGAGUGUGUCUACUGUAACAAGGUAAGUGUAGAACAGAAUGUGUCUACUGUAACAAGGUAAGUGUAGAACAGAAUGUGUCUACUGUAACAAGGUAAGUGUAGUAGAACAGAGUGUGUCUACUGUAACAAGGUAAGCAUGGAACAGAGUGUGUCUACUGUAACAAGGUAAGUGUAGAACAGAAUGUGUCUACUGUAACAAGGUAAGUGUAGAACAGAAUGUGUCUACUGUAACAAGGUAAGUGUAGUAGAACAGAGUGUGUCUACUGUAACAAGGUAAGUGUAGUAGAACAGAGUGUGUCUACUGUAACAAGGUAAGCAUGGAACAGAGUGUGUCUACUGUAACAAGGUAAGUGUAGUAGAACAGAGUGUGUCUACUGUAACAAGGUAAGUGUAGAACAGAGUGUGUCUACUGUAACAAGGUAAGUGUAGUAGAACAGAGUGUGUCUACUGUAACAAGGUAAGUGUAGAACAGAAUGUGUCUACUGUAACAAGGUAAGUGUAGUAGAACAGAGUGUGUCUACUGUAACAAGGUAAGUGUAGUAGAACAGAGUGUGUCUACUGUAACAAGGUAAGCAUGGAACAGAGUGUGUCUACUGUAACAAGGUAAGUGUAGUAGAACAGAGUGUGUCUACUGUAACAAGGUAAGUGUAGUAGAACAGAGUGUGUCUACUGUAACAAGGUAAGUGUAGAACAGAGUGUGUCUACUGUAACAAGGUAAGUGUAGUAGAACAGAGUGUGUCUACUGUAACAAGGUAAGUGUAGAACAGAAUGUGUCUACUGUAACAAGGUAAGUGUAGUAGAACAGAGUGUGUCUACUGUAACAAGGUAAGUGUAGAACAGAGUGUGUCUACUGUAACAAGGUAAGUGUAGUAGAACAGAGUGUGUCUACUGUAACAAGGUAAGUGUAGUAGAACAGAGUGUGUCUACUGUAACAAGGUAAGUGUAGAACAGAAUGUGUCUACUGUAACAAGGUAAGUGUAGUAGAACAGAGUGUGUCUACUGUAACAAGGUAAGUGUAGUAGAACAGCGUGUGUCUACUGUAACAAGGUAAGCAUGGAAGAGGGUGUGUCUACUGUAACAAGGUAAGUGUAGUAGAACAGAGUGUGUCUACUGUAACAAGGUAAGUGUAGUAGAACAGCGUGUGUCAUCGACUCGGUGGGCGGGUAGGUUGGCAGACCCCGAUCUCACCAUUUAGAAGCUUCCUCAUUUCAUGGUGCAUUUUGGUGCGAGCGCCCUCGUUAUUGUCUCCCGGUGCAGGCACGCUCCACCGAGACACUUCCAUGGUGAUUAGCGCCAGAUGUACCCCCCCCCCCCCC